rnacentral:rRNA from 1 species
CACGUAGGGGCAAGCGUUGUCCGGAUUUAUUGGGCGUAAAGAGCUCGUAGGCGGCUCAGUAAGUCAGGUGUGAAACCUCCAGGCUCAACCUGGAGACGCCACCUGAUACUGCUGUGGCUAGAGUCCGGUAGGGGAGCGUGGAAUUCCUGGUGUAGCGGUGAAAUGCGCAGAUAUCAGGAGGAACACCAAUGCGAAGGCAGCUCGCUGGGACGUUACUGACGCUGAGACGCGAAAGCGUGGGGAGCAAACAGG